UUUCCGUAGGUGAACCUGCGGAAGGAUCAUUAUUGUAUAACCGAGGUGCGAGGGCUGUCGCUGACCCGAAAGGUCGUGCACGCCCGAGUGCCUACACACACAUCCAUCUCACCCCUAUGUGCACCACCGCGUGGGUCCCCCUUUGGCUUGUUCGGAGGGGGGCUUACGUUUUCACACAAACUUUGUAUGCAGUGUAGAAUGUAUUUUUUGUUUUUGCGAUCACGCAAUCAAUACAACUUUCAACAACGGAUCUCUUGGCUCUC
rnacentral:misc_RNA from 1 species